GACGAACGCUGGCGGCGUGCCUAAUACAUGCAAGUCGAACGCAGUUGCGAACGGGUGAGUAACGAGUAGGUAACCUGCCGCAUAGCAGGGGAUAACGAUUGGAAACGAUAGCUAAUACCGCAUACUGUGGGAUGGACCGGCGGUGUAUUAGAUAGUUGGUGAGGUAAAGGCUCACCAAGGCGACGAUACAUAGCCGGCCUGAGAGGGUGAUCGGCCCCACUGGGACCGAGAACCGGCCCAGGCUCCCUACGGGGGCAGGCGGAGGGAAUUCUCGGGAAUGGACGGAAGUCUUGACGGGCAACGCCGCGUGAGUUAAGAAGGUUUUCGGAUCGGAAAGCUCCGUUGUUAGGGAAGCGGUAACUAACCAGAAAGGGACGGCUAACUACGUGCCAGCAGCCGCGGUAAUUC
rnacentral:rRNA from 1 species